rnacentral:rRNA from 1 species
AUUGAACGCUGGCGGCAGGCCUAACACAUGCAAGUCGAACGAGUGGCGGACGGGUGAGUAAUGUCUGUGAAACUGCCUGAUGGAGGGGGAUAACUACUGGAAACGGUAGCUAAUACCGCAUACCAUCGGAUGUGCCCAGAUGGGCUUAGCUAGUGGGUGGGGUAAAGGCUCACCUAGGCGACGAUCCCUAGCUGGUCUGAGAGGAUGACCAGCAACACUGGAACGUGGACACGGUCCAGACUCCGACGGGAGGCAGCAGUGGGGAAUAUUGCACAAUGGGCGCAAGCCUGAUGCAGCCAUGCGGCGUGGAUGAAGAAGGACUUCGGGUUGUAAAGUACUUUCAGCGGGGAGGCGUUACCCGCAGAAGAAGCACCGGCUAACUCCGUGCCAGCCGCCGCGGUAAUAC